rnacentral:rRNA from 1 species
UACGUAGGGGGCAAGCGUUGUCCGGAUUUAUUGGGCGUAAAGAGCGUGUAGGCGGCCUUACAGGUCAGCUGUGAAAACUCGAGGCUCAACCUCGAGACGUCGGUUGAAACCGUAUGGCUAGAGUCCGGAAGAGGAGAGUGGAAUUCCCGGUGUAGCGGUGAAAUGCGUAGAUAUCUGCAGGAACACCCGUGGCGAAAGCGGCGCGCUGGACCACUACUGACGCUGAGGAACGAAAGCUAGGGGAGCAAACAGG